rnacentral:rRNA from 1 species
GACCGGCGCACGGGUGCGUAACGCGUAUGCAAUCUACCUUUUACAGAGGGAUAGCCCAGAGAAAUUUGGAUUAAUACCUCAUAGUAUUGCAGAACGGCAUGGUUCAGUUAUUAAAGUCACAACGGUAAAAGAUGAGCAUGCGUCCCAUUAGCUAGUUGGUAAGGUAACGGCUUACCAAGGCUACGAUGGGUAGGGGUCCUGAGAGGGAGAUCCCCCACACUGGUACUGAGACACGGACCAGACUCCUACGGGAGGCAGCAGUGAGGAAUAUUGGACAAUGGGCGCAAGCCUGAUCCAGCCAUGCCGCGUGCAGGAUGACGGUCCUAUGGAUUGUAAACUGCUUUUAUACGAGAAGAAACACUACUUCGUGAAGUAGCUUGACGGUAUCGUAAGAAUAAGGAUCGGCUGAGUCGGUGCCAGCAGCCGCGGUAAUACGGAGGAUCCAAGCGUUAUCCGGAAUCAUUGGGUUUAAAGGGUCCGUAGGCGGUUUGAUAAGUCAGUGGUGAAAGCCCAUCGCUCAACGGUGGAACGGCCAUUGAUACUGUUAGACUUGAAUUAUUAGGAAGUAACUAGAAUAUGUAGUGUAGCGGUGAAAUGCUUAGAGAUUACAUGGAAUACCAAUUGCGAAGGCAGGUUACUACUAAUUGAUUGACGCUGAUGGACGAAAGCGUGGGUAGCGAACAGGAUUAGAUACCCUGGUAGUCCACGCCGUAAACGAUGGAUACUAGCUGUUGGGAGCAAUCUCAGUGGCUAAGCGAAAGUGAUAAGUAUCCCACCUGGGGAGUACGUUCGCAAGAAUGAAACUCAAAUGAAUUGACGGGGGCCCUGCACAAGCGGGGUGGGAGCAUAGUGGUUUAAUUCGAUGAUACGCGAGGAACCUUACCAAGGCUUAAAUGUAGUUUGACCGGUUUGGAAACAGACUUUUCGCAAGACAAAUUACAAGGUGCUGCAUGGUUGUCGUCAGCUCGUGCCGUGAGGUGUCAGGUUAAGUCCUAUAACGAGCGCAACCCCUGUUGUUAGUUGCCAGCGAGUCAAGUCGGGAACUCUAACAAGACUGCCAGUGCAAACUGUGAGGAAGGUGGGGAUGACGUCAAAUCAUCACGGCCCUUACGCCUUGGGCUACACACGUGCUACAAUGGCCGGUACAGAGAGCAGCCACUGGGCGACCAGGAGCGAAUCUAUAAAACCGGUCACAGUUCGGAUCGGAGUCUGCAACUCGACUCCGUGAAGCUGGAAUCGCUAGUAAUCGGAUAUCAGCCAUGAUCCGGUGAAUACGUUCCCGGGCCUUGUACACAGCGCCCGUCAAGCCAUGGAAGCUGGGGGUGCCUGAAGUCGGUGACCGCAAGGAGCUGCCUAGGGUAAAACUGGUAACUAGGGCUAAGUCGUAACAAGGUAACCGUA